CCUACGGGUGGCAGCAGUGGGGAAUAUUGCACAAUGGGCGAAAGCCUGAUGCAGCAACGCCGCGUGAAGGAAGACGGUUUUCGGAUUGUAAACUUCUGUCAAUAGGGAAGAAAGACAUGACGGUAACUAGAUCAGACGCCCCGGCUAACUACGUGCCAGCAGCCGCGGUAAUACGUAGGGGGCAAGCGUUAUCCGGAAUUACUGGGUGUAAAGGGAGAGUAGGCGGCAAGGUAAGCGAUAUGUGAAAGCCUUAAGCUUAACUAAAGGAUUGCAUAACGAACUAUCUAGCUAGAGUACAGGAGAGGAAAGCGGAAUUCCGAGUGUAGCGGUGAAAUGCGUAGAUAUUAGGAAGAACACCAGUGGCGAAGGCGGCUUUCUGGACUGAAACUGACGCUGAGGCUCGAAAGCGUGGGGAGCGAACAGGAUUAGAUACCCUUGUAGUC
rnacentral:rRNA from 1 species